UUGGAGGGCAAGUCUGGUGCCAGCAGCCGCGGUAAUUCCAGCUCCAAUAGCGUAUAUUAAAGUUGUUGCAGUUAAAAAGCUCGUAGUUGAACUUCGGGGUUUACUCAUUGGUCAGGCUUAAUUGUCUGUACUGGUGAGAUGAAUCUCUACCUUCUGAGGAACUUUCAUGUCAUUUAUUUGGUGUGAUUGGAAAUCAGGACUGUUACUUUGAAAAAAUUAGAGUGUUUAAAGCAGGCUAACGUCUGAAUACAUUAGCAUGGAAUAAUGAAAUAGGACGGACUGAUUCUAUUUCGUUGGUUUCUAGGAUCACCGUAAUGAUUAAUAGGGAUAGUUGGGGGCAUUAGUAUUCAAUUGUCAGAGGUGAAAUUCUUGGAUUUAUUGAAGACUAACUACUGCGAAAGCAUUUGCCAAGGAUGUUUUCAUUAAUCAAGAACGAAAGUUAGGGGAUCGAAGACGAUCAGAUACCGUCGUAGUCUUAACCAUAAACUAUGCCGACUAGGGAUCGGACGAAGUUAAUUUUAUAAUGACGCGUUCGGCGCCUUACGGGAAAC
rnacentral:rRNA from 1 species